CAUGCGCAGUUGUUGCGACGCCUGCCUGGCAAGCCUGUGCUCCGCUGUAACAAAUGCUGCAAGAAGCGUGCUGCAAUAUCUGCUCCUGGGUGAAAAAGUGAGCGACCGAGCGUGCAAGCGGUGGCGGCAGUAGGUUUGUAUUGUUUCACCACUUGACCCGCGGGGGGACCUAGGAUGUAGUACCAAGCGGCUGCAGUUGGAGCCCUCCUUUGGAUCAACACAGGUCGUCACAAAAUCAAAGGUGAAACCACGGGGUCAAAAAGACAAAAAGAGCUAAAUCUUGAGCAUCGGAUCAGAGAAGACAUGCUGCUGAAGCCGCCUGCCAUUCUCCGAGGUGAACAUCAUCAGUAUAGAAUCAACGCAUGCCGUUUUUUCUUCAACACUGCCAGCAGAGUGUUUUGCCCAAUAAACCAGUUGUUUUCUA